CUAGAAUAUUCCAGCAGGAGAGAGCAGACUGCCCUGGACCCAGCUGUGUCUCCAUGGAGACUGACUUGUCCAUGGCUCAACAUCCGGAAUCAAAAGAUGGAAAUCCCCAACCUUCUAAGAAAAGAAAAGUCGAAGUGGAGAUAGCAGGAGGGGAGAUAGCAGAAGUGGAGAUAGCAGAUACCCCUGGUCCCAGCUGUGUCUCCAUGCAGAGUGACUCGGCUAUGAGUUUUCCUCCUGAAUUUAAAGAUGGACGCCCCUCCGGAGAGGAGAGACCUCACCAGGAGAGGUCAAAGGUUACCAGUGCUCAGUCUGCAGAGCAGCAUCAAGCAGACCGGAUCAAGG